GACGAACGCUGGCGGCGUGCCUAACACAUGCAAGUUGAGCGACGAACCAGGGCUUGCCCUGGGGCAAAGCAGCGAACGGGUGAGUAACACGUGGGUAACCUACCCCGAUAACCGGGACAACCCGAGGAAACUCGGGCUAAUACCGGAUGUGCUCACUGGACUUCGGUUCAGUGCGUAAAGGAAGCUUCGGCCUCCGCAUCGGGAGGGGCCCGCGGCCCAUUAGUUUGUUGGUGAGGUAACGGCUCACCAAGACCGCGAUGGGUAGCUGGUCUGAGAGGACGAUCAGCCACACUGGGACUGAGACACGGCCCAGACUCCUACGGGAGGCAGCAGUGGGGAAUCUUGCGCAAUGCGCGAAAGCGUGACGCAGCAACGCCGCGUGGGGGAAGAAGGCCUUCGGGUUGUAAACCCCUUUCAGGAGGGACGAAGGUUCGGCGGUGAAUAGCCGUCCGGACUGACGGUACCUCCACAAGAAGCCCCGGCUAACUACGUG
rnacentral:rRNA from 1 species